AUUUUUUAGUGAUUUCUGGAUCAAAAAUUUUGAAGAAUCUCGAUUUUGAAAAGAUUUUGAACUUUGGUCCAAAAAUUCCAUUUCGGACCAAUUUCCUUGCCACUUGCAUGCAACUGAUGAAAAUUCGUAUUUGAAUCGGUCAGCUUGUAAAUUAAAUAAAAUUUACCAACAAGUUUAAAAGGAUCACUAUACAAAAUUGACUAAACUCCAUUUUUGCUUUUUAGACAAUUCUGUGAGAAAGGUUUCAACUAACUUUGAAGAGAAUACUCGUUUUUCAAAAGCUUACUUGCACUAAUAGUAACUUGGAUAAACUUGAACGAUACCAGAAUUACAAAGACCGAAAGUUUUGGACUUUGUCCAGGAAAGUUAAAUCCUUAGAAUUAAAGGAAAAUGGUCCCCUGUAAUCAAGCUCCUACCCACAUGAAAAUUGCUUUAGAGGGAAGAAUUCCUCGUCCUAAUGUUGGAAAAAUGCCAACCGAGAAUGAAAAGAUAAGAAAACUUGGUUUGCAGUAAACUAGAAAAUUAAAGAAUCUGUUUUCAUAAAAAACGGAAAAUGUCGCUCGAGCAUGAAUGUCUUGCUGAAAAAUCAAUUAAUCGUUCUUUGAUGAAUAAACCAUUCAAAGGACAAGUAUUUAGUUUAGCCUCCAAUCAUCUUUAUCCUCCUCCUGAUCGAAAAAAAUUGACGAAUCGCGAGGUAAGGGAUGCUGUCGAUAAGAGCGAUCUCUGGUUUUAUAUACCCCCAUGGCAACUUCCGAGGGUAGAAUUUACGUGCCUGAAAUGUCGUCAAAUUUCCAUCAGAAAUACACCCAUGACGGAAAUUAUUUUUAUGGCAAAAAAAAAUUUGGCAUUCAAUGGAAUUUUGGGGGAUUUAAAAAUCUCCAUCCCACAUUUUGGGAAAGCGAAAAUUAAAUCCGUCGUGAUAAUGAAAAAUGCUAGAAAAACGGACAAAAAAAGCAGAAAUAUUGAUAAAAAAAAAGAAAGAGAAAAAAAUGAUAAAUUGCAUUUCGAAAAAUUCCAUUUCGAAUUGUCGCGAUAGUCAACUAAAAACAAUUACAAUCUCGUAUUUAACAUUUUCUCCUUGGAGACGAAACAACAAAAUUUAUACAAAGUUUGUGAAAAAUAAGAAAAUAAAAAAACCUAUAAAAAAUGAAACCCUAAAUUAUUUAAAGUGUGGUGUGUAAUUUUUGAAACAGAUUCCAAAAUGAGCUACUCGGAGAAAAAUGUAGAAUCCACUGAAAUUUUUUUGAAUAAGGGAAGCAAAUGUGAUUGUCCAGGUGGAAAUUGUGGACAAGGAUGCACCAGUGGAUCUAAAAAAUGUAACUGCGAUGACGAAAGUGAAGCCAUCCUGAAAUUUGAUUAUAAAGUGGAAAAAAUAUCGCCAUUUAUGAAGGAUCCUCCGAAGAUAUUGAACACGGAAACAGUACUUUUUAAUUUUAAUUUGCUUUCCGAAUCUAUGACUAACUAAAGUUUAAAAAAAUCUAGGAAUUGUGUAUUCAAAUUUGAUUUAAUCAUCAAUAAAUACAAAAGCAA